rnacentral:tRNA from 1 species
GGCCCUAUAGCUCAACUGGAUAGAGCGUCAGAUUCCGGUUCUGAAGGUUGCAGGUUCGACUCCUGCUAGGGUCA